rnacentral:rRNA from 1 species
UUUUAUUUGAGAGUUUGAUCCUGGCUCAGGAUGAACGCUGGCGGCGUGCCUAACACAUGCAAGUUGAGCGAUUUACUUCGGUAAAGAGCGGCGGACGGGGGAGUAACGCGUGGGUAACCUACCCUGUACACACGGAUAACAUACCGAAAGGUAUGCUAAUACGGGAUAAUAUAUUUGAGAGGCAUCUCUUGAAUAUCAAAGGUGAGCCAGUACAGGAUGGACCCGCGUCUGAUUAGCUAGUUGGUAAGGUAACGGCUUACCAAGGCGACGAUCAGUAGCCGACCUGAGAGGGUGAUCGGCCACAUUGGAACUGAGACACGGUCCAAACUCCUACGGGAGGCAGCAGUGGGGAAUAUUGCACAAU